rnacentral:rRNA from 1 species
UUGAUCCUGGCUCAGGACGAACGCUGGCGGCACGCUUAACACAUGCAAGUCGAACGAGAGAAGAGAAGCUUGCUUUUCUGAUCUAGUGGCGGACGGGUGAGUAACACGUGAGCAAUCUGCCUUUCAGAGGGGGAUACCGAUUGGAAACGAUCGUUAAUACCGCAUAACAUAAUUGAACCGCAUGAUUUGAUUAUCAAAGAUUUAUCGCUGAAAGAUGAGCUCGCGUCUGAUUAGCUAGUUGGUAAGGUAACGGCUUACCAAGGCGACGAUCAGUAGCCGGACUGAGAGGUUGAUCGGCCACAUUGGGACUGAGACACGGCCCAGACUCCUACGGGAGGCAGCAGUGGGGAAUAUUGCACAAUGGAGGAAACUCUGAUGCAGCGAUGCCGCGUGAGGGAAGAAGGUUUUAGGAUUGUAAACCUCUGUCUUCAGGGACGAAAAAAGACGGUACCUGAGGAGGAAGCUCCGGCUAACUACGUGCCAGCAGCCGCGGUAAUACGUAGGGAGCGAGCGUUGUCCGGAAUUACUGGGUGUAAAGGGAGCGUAGGCGGGAUCGCAAGUCAGAUGUGAAAACUAUGGGCUUAACCCAUAAACUGCAUUUGAAACUGUGGUUCUUGAGUGAAGUAGAGGUAAGCGGAAUUCCUAGUGUAGCGGUGAAAUGCGUAGAUAUUAGGAGGAACAUCAGUGGCGAAGGCGGCUUACUGGGCUUUAACUGACGCUGAGGCUCGAAAGCGUGGGGAGCAAACAGGAUUAGAUACCCUGGUAGUCCACACCGUAAACGAUGAUUACUAGGUGUGGGGGGACUGACCCCUUCCGUGCCGCAGCAAACGCAAUAAGUAAUCCACCUGGGGAGUACGACCGCAAGGUUGAAACUCAAAGGAAUUGACGGGGGCCCGCACAAGCAGUGGAGUAUGUGGAUUAAUUCGAAGCAACGCGAAGAACCUUACCAGGUCUUGACAUCGUAUGCAUAGCUCAGAGAUGAGUGAAAUCUCUUCGGAGACAUAUAGACAGGUGGUGCAUGGUUGUCGUCAGCUCGUGUCGUGAGAUGUUGGGUUAAGUCCCGCAACGAGCGCAACCCUUACUGUUAGUUGCUACGCAAGAGCACUCUAGCAGGACUGCCGUUGACAAAACGGAGGAAGGUGGGGAUGACGUCAAAUCAUCAUGCCCUUUAUGACCUGGGCCUCACACGUACUACAAUGGCUGUCAACAGAGGGAAGCAAAGCCGCGAGGUGGAGCAAACCCCUAAAAGCAGUCUUAGUUCGGAUUGUAGGCUGCAACCCGCCUACAUGAAGUCGGAAUUGCUAGUAAUCGCAGAUCAGCAUGCUGCGGUGAAUACGUUCCCGGACGG